UCGAACGAGCACGAUUUCCUUCGGGAUGAUGUGCUGAGUGGCGGACGGGUGAGUAACGCGUGGGUACCUGCCUUGUACAGGGGGAUAACAGUUGGAAACGGCUGCUAAUACCGCAUAAGAUCGCAUGAUAAAAACUCCGGUGGUAUAAGAUGGACCCGCGUUGGAUUAGCUAGUUGGUGAGGUAACGGCCCACCAAGGCGACGAUCCAUAGCCGACCUGAGAGGGUGACCGGCCACAUUGGGACUGAGACACGGCCCAAACUCCUACGGGAGGCAGCAGUGGGGAAUAUUGCACAAUGGGCGAAAGCCUGAUGCAGCGACGCCGCGUGAGCGAAGAAGUAUUUCGGUAUGUAAAGCUCUAUCAGCAGGGAAGAUAAUGACGGUACCUGACUAAGAAGCACCGGCUAAAUACGUGCCAGCAGCCGCGGUAAUACGUAUGGUGCAAGCGUUAUCCGGAUUUACUGGGUGUAAAGGGAGCG
rnacentral:rRNA from 1 species